rnacentral:rRNA from 1 species
AUGUCGCCGUCGUCCAUCUUGGCGAACCUCCCUCGCACCCUCGGCUGGCUGUCCGCCAGAGCCUUCCUGCAAGCAUACUGCAACACACAGAAUCGAAAACAUUCAUCAUUCUCUGAUAUUGCAUCUUGUACUCGUAGAAGAAGAGAAGUAAGAGAGAUUUGUUUGUUUGUGCACCUUGAUCUUUCUGCCAAAGUUCCUCUGGAUCUUCUUCUUCCUGUACCUGUUGAGCUUCUGCUUCCUCUCCUCGCUUUUGAGGUCGCUGAUGGUCACAAGCCUCUCACCAGAUGCCUGCACAUUUGCCGCGAUCCCAGGCCGAGGGGUAUUGGCACCAAGCUUCUGUCGAAAAAAGAGGUAAACAUGUUAGCCUUGCAAAUUGCAUAUCCUCAUACAAAAAUUGAACUUUACAUGAUGAUCCUAUUCCUACCUAAACACAUGAUCAGGAAGAAAACAUAUUACUAG